rnacentral:lncRNA from 1 species
GCUGAGAUUGAGAUGGCACCCCUAGGGAGAAUUGCUGCUAUAGACCCGUUAAGAGCAGGAGUCUCCAAACCCAAGACCCAGCGACUUACUCGGGGCUCUGGUAUGACCCAUGGCAACACCCGUAACUGCAUGGAACACACACUAUUGAGCCAUCUACAGGGGAGAAAGCCACUGCUCCCCAUAGCAAAAAGGGGGGCAAGAACAAAAUACAGUAGAUGUUAUCAAGGUGAAUGCAUGUGGCUCCCAUUUGCUUAUGUGCUGAGAGAUAAGAGGAAUACAUGGUGUAAUUGGUGAGGGCAGCUAGAGUGAAGAUUAACCUUAUGUGCAGACUCUGGUUCCUCCUUCAAAAGUCUGUCUCCCGUCCGUCCGCCCCCCCCCACGUCCUUUUUCACAACUCAGAUGGGGUGGGUGGGGGGAGAUUGACUACCAGAGACAGCAUUUGCAGGGAGAAAUCAGAGGGGGAGGGUAAGCUCCCUUGCUGCCCACAAAUUCCCCCCUCCCAACUCCAUCAUUAUGGGAGGAGGGAUUUACAGUAGGGGAAUCCUGUGUUUUCCUCGUAACAUUUUGUUCCAUCCUGACUCAUCACUACCUACCACUACUAUCUGGCACAGAAAACCCCACUGAUUCCUUUUGACAGCUGACUUUCUGGAAUACUUGUGCCUGGGAUCUCCAGGACAUAGUAGGGAGAUGAAUUUAUACUUCUGCUUAUCCUAUUCAUUCUAUAAAUGUUUCACUUUUUAGGAAAUGUAUAAUUCUGCUUAUCCUAUUCAUUCUAUAUAUGCUUCACAUUUUAAUAAAAUAGAUAACUUGGAGCUGCAGUAGCCAUUUUUAAUGUUAGAAAAGCAUUACAGCACAAUCCUAUCAAUGCUUACUCAGAAGUAGGACUGCAUUUAAUAGGGCUUACUUCUUGGAAAGUGUACAUGGGUUUGCAGCUUUUGCCUCUAAAAUGGGGAAAAUUAGAUACAGCAGUUUUGACAUGUUAUCCAUUAACUGGUGGUAGAAUUUAUUUUUGGAAAUUGAAUUUUAUGCAGUUGAUAUAUCAAGUGAACAAUAAGAGGUGGUUUCUGGGCAGUUGUUAGAUUGUGAAUUUGGUCCUUUGCUACAGCUUUGUACAUUUCUACUGCGAAUGUGCAAUACUAAGAGGAACGCUAAUGCAUUUCUCAGUGGUUUGCAGGUGGGAGAAAAGAGAAACCUAAAAAAAAGACUUGUGCUCACCAUCAAAUGUAUCUAACCUAACCUAUUAUGACUUCCAUGAACAGGAACGCAAUUAAAGAUGCAAGUGUUUAAAAUGUAGAAAGGAAACUGGUAGAAAAUGGUCAUUGAAACAAGCGUGGAUUGAACAUCCAGGGAAAGAGAUACCUGCAGAAAGACCAUCCGUCAAUAUAUGAUUUUUUUAAGAAAGAAAAAAAGUGACUCAGUAUGAGAGAAACCUUAAAAACAACAAAAGUCAAAGAGAAGGAAAGGCAGAGGAGCAGGAAGCCAUCAGUGAGGCUCCUAGCUGUAGGAGUGGGAAUGAGAAGUGGGAAUGAGAAGUGGAGUGUGGCUCUUUGUCUUUGUUCAUCCUUUUGCAUGAUCUCUCUUUCUCAUUUCAGCCAGACCCCACUGGCACUUCCUUUGUCUAUCAAUCCCAUUGUGUUUGGCUAUCGGGACAAAAUCCUCUUUAUCUUCAAAGAAACAAGAAAAUAAAACAUCUCAUCAGAUUUUGAAAGGUUAUCAAAAUCACACUUAGAAAGGAUUCGCAAGUCUAUGUUUUUAAAAAUUGAUGGAGAGAGGGAAUAUUUUUUAAAAUAUUUGCUUGGAAUCAAGGAGUGGAAGGAACAAAUCCUCAUGAUCCGUUUGUCAAGUCCAUGCAAUACUGCAGUGACUGGAAGUUUUGCUUUUCAAAGAAGAAAUUAAUACAUUUCCUUCAAAAUGCAGAUAUGUAUUUUUUUCUGCUUCAGUGACAAUGAGCUGUUAAAACUGCACUUUGUCAACCUAUUGUUUUCUUAACAGCAAGCUCUUAACUGCAUGCAUGAAUGAAAGAAUGAAUGAGCCUUCUGUGGAAAAUAUGCAUCAUACAACAUCACUAUUUCAGUAGAUUCAGCAAUGUCAAUAGUUGCUCAAAAUAAUAUAGUAAGAACGACUUGUGGGGCAAGGUAAGAAAAACACCAUUCAGAGAUAAAAGAAAAAGAAUCUCUUUUAAAACGGCCUUUUUAAAAAAAAAAAAAAAAGUGAAGACCAUUACUUUCUUUGUCAUAGUAAUGAAUUCUGGCUUGCACUUCCCAGGGAAAUGAGAAGCCGAAAUAGUACAUUUCUGUCUUGAUUAGAUUCGUUUUGAACACGCCAAUGCAGAUAGCUUGCCUUUUCUGCCUGACAUUAGUAAAGCUAGAUUUUUUAAAAGGAGCAAUAACAUUUUCAUUUACUAAUCAAUUUAAAGCAAGGGCGAAUAAGGGCACAAUAAGGCACACCGUGGAUAAAGAUUAAGACAGUGAGUCGGUAUUUAAAUGAGAAACCUGCUCCUGAUACUGUUAGUUACAAAAAAGCAAAAACCUUAGGGUAAAUAAAGAAAGAAAGAAGGGAGGAAUGCAGACAUUUUAAAAUACCACCACCAAUGAAGUUCUUCCUGUGCCCAGUCAGAAAGGACAAAACGAUGAAGGGGAAACUGCUCUUCAUUCUCCUGUCUUGCUAUACCAACUUCCAUUGCCAGCUGUGAAUUGCUACAGCUAAGUAAGACAAGAGGCAAGAGAGAUACCUACCGUAUUUUUCGCUCUAUAAGACGCACUUUUUCCCCUCCAAAAAUGAAGGGGAACUGUGUGUGCGUCCUAUGGGGCGACUGCAGGCUUCGCUGAAGCCUGGAGAGCGAGAGGGUCGGUGCGCAGGGACCCUCUCGCUCUCCAGGCUUCAGGAAGCUAUCCGCUAGCCAUGGGAGACCCAGCUCUCCCACGGCUAGCGGAGACCUGCCAGCACCCAGAAGCUUGGGGCGCGCUGAGCUCCGCACGCCCCAAGCCUCGGGAUUGCGCAGUGCUCCGCUAGCCCUGGGAGAGCCGCGUGGCUCUCCCACGGCUAGCGGACUGCUUGCCGGCACCCAGAAGCUUGGGCGCGCUGAGCUCCGCACACCCCAAGCUUGGGUAUUCGCGCCGCGCUCCGCUAGCCCUGGGAGAGCCCCGCGGCUCUCCCACGGCUAGCGGAGACCUUUCUGGCACCCAGAAGCUUGGGGCGCGCUGAGCUCCGCACGCCCCAAGCUUCGGGCUUAGCACAGCGCACCUGGGGGGGAAAUAAAAAAAAUUUUCCUUUAUUUCCCCCCCAAAAAACUAGGUGCGUCCUAUGGGCCGGUGCGUCCUAUGGUGCGAAAAAUAUGGUACUUAACAAGGGUUCAAAAUCUCACCGUGUAGGCCACAGGCAGCAAAUGUAUGACUGUCCAAACCUUUUUGGACUCACGCCCAUCAGCGAGCCAGCAAGGCUAAUGGCUCAGGGAUGAUGGGAGUUGUAGUGCAGCAACAUCUGGAAGGCCACAUUUUCCCCCUCCUUGAUGCAGACCAAGGUGUCUUUCAGUCUCCAACAUUCCAGCAUUUCUCAGGCUGAAGGAAGUAGAACUUUUAUUACAUCAUGAGAGGAACAGCUCUAAGGAUCCUUUCUCACAUUUGCAAUGACUCCUUCCUGGGCCAUAAAGGUAAAUGUCAGAAGCCCAGAGCUGCAUUGGAAAGGUCCAGCUGCAGACAUCCUGUUGUAUCAGAAUCAUUCUUCCUGCAAGCUUGGGCUUCUUCCUUGCCUUACAUGAACACAGCCUUAACAGUGAGUCCGUGAGUGGCUGUGGAGGCCAAUUCUGGAGACACACGUCCUUCCACAGAGGUGACAUAAGUUUUCACGUGGGCUUUGAUCACGGUGAGGGUUUGCCAAAUAUUGGCAACACCAGCAUGAGGAACAGCCAUUGUGUGGGCUCCUCCCAGGCAGCCCAGGACUUUUGGGGCACAGAAAUGAGCCACAUAACAUAAUGGUUUCCUUGCUUCAAGCCUAAGAAUAGGGUCUCGGCUGAGUCUAAAUAAUGUGAAUAAGCAGCUUCCUGUGGGGCACUUUUGCUGGCAUACGCUUUAAAGACUUUCAAAACCAACUUUCGUUUCUGUGCCACCACGGGCAUCCUUGCCUCUUGACACACAUACAAACAAAUUUAUAAGUUACUUCUACUUUGUUUAUCAGUUGAAUAGAGCAACCACAUACUAUCAUUUCAGAAAUCAGUUUACACCCCCCAAAAAAAGUGUUCAGUCCAGUUCUAAGGCAAAAGUGAUAUUCUAAUAGCCAAACCAAACAUUUUUGAAAGUGUGGUUCACUGUGAGGUACGCGUACGAUAAAAAAGGAGAAAGUAGCUACACUGUAUUGUCUCAGUUGAAAGAAAUGUGAAUGAACACUACUGGAAAAAGAUGCAAGUGGGAUCUAGACCAGGAGGGGAUAGGCUGUGGCCCCUCCAGACACUGCUGGGCUUGAACGCUCAUCAGCCCCAGCCAGCACAGUGAAUGGUUAGGGAUGACAGGAGCUUUAAUCCAACAUCUGGUGGGCCACAGGUUUUCUAUCACUGAUACAGGCUGUGGAGGAGGAAGGUGAGUGGAAUCUAGUAAGUGAAGAAAUAAGAACGUACAGUGGUACCUCAGUUUUUGAACAUCUCUGUUGACAAACAUUUCAGUUUUUGAACGCCAUAAACCUGGAAGUAAAUGCUUCAUUUUUCGAACACGCCUUGGAAGUUGAACAUGCCAUGCGGCUUCCGCUGAGUGCAGAAUCCUGAGGCCUAGCUGUUGGCUAUUGAGUUUUUGAUUUUCAAACGUUUCAGACCUCAAAUGGUCUUCCAGAACAGAUCACGUUCAAAAACUGAGGUACCACUGUAUUUUUGCAGAGCCUGGCUAGCCUCCAACUAGAAGCCCUGUGAUCUUCUAACAGAGUAUCCACAAUGAUUCUACCAGAAUUUAACUUUGUUUCAACCAGCUCUGCCUCCAGCUCCACAGCUAGACUUCCUUGCCCAACUCUACGUUCCACUUCUUGGCUUCAUUAAACUCCAGCAAUUGCCUGUCAGUCCAGCUAUAUUACUGUCUUGCAUACCCAGUAGUAUUUUUCUGGACUGGGAGGUUCUUGUUUCUGUCUUGCAGACUUCCCACUCUGCAGUGCUACCAGGUACUCCACCAGGACUAUGGAGUAGGUUCCAGACUACCCUCCCAAUUGAGCUGUUCACUUACCAUAUUUUCCGCCCUAUAGGACGCACUUUUCCCCCUCCAAAAACAAAGGGGAAAUCUGUGUGCGUCCUAUGCGGAGAAUGCAGCCUUUCGCUGAAGCUUGGAGAGCGAGAGGGGUCGGUGCGCACCGCCCCCGCUCGCUCUCCAGGGUUCAGGAAGCUAUCAGCAAGCCUGGGGAGCCCGCGGGAGUUCCCGCAGGGCUCCCUAGGCUGCAGAUAGCAGCCUGCUGCACGGAGCGGGGGGUGCGCUGAAGCAGAGCGCCCCGCACUUCGGGCAGACACCCGCAGCCUGCUGCACGGAGCGCGGGGAGCGCUGAAGCAGAGCACCCCGCGCUUCGGGCAGACAUCGGGCAGCCCCACAAGCUCAGGGGACAGCGGGGAGGCGCAGCGCCGCCAUCCCACUGUUCCCCGACCUGGUUUGGAGGCUGGCAUGGGGAGAAGCGCGUUUCUCCCCAGCGCCAGCCUCACAAGCUCGAGGGAAAGCCGGGAGGCGCAGGGCCACCACCCCACUGUUCCCUGACCUGGUUUGGAUUCCCCGACCUGGUUUUGGGGGGGAAAUAAAGGAAAAAUUGUUUUCCUUUAUUUCCCCCCAAAAAAACUAGGUGCGUCCUAUGGGCCGGUGCAUCCUAUGGGACGAAAAAUACGGUACCGGUACUUCAAUUUCGGCUUCUUGAACCCAGUCUUAGAGUACUGGUUAUUUUCAGUUUUGGUCUCAUUCACACUGAAUGAGUGUUAAAUCUCAGGUUGCUUAGCGAGCCCUAGAACUGACAUCCAGAGAACCUUUGACAGUACUGGUGCAGUGGAAAAGCAUUGCCACCACUGCUUGUCCAGCUCCAUCAUUCCAUGUUCCUCAUGCUUAAAAUGAGUAGGAAUCUAAUUCUGCUCCACAGUAAGAAACAGAAAAGGUGCAGAAAUGAUGGGACUCUAGAAGGAAUAGGGUGGGAGGUGGAAGAGUUAGCACCCUCUCCUGCUGUAUAAAGCAAUUGAGAUGGCUCAGUCAAUACAGCAUGAGACUCUUGAUCUCACAUUGGGCAAAAUAUUCCUGAAUUGCAGGGGUUGGACUUAGAUGACCCUCAUGGUCCUUUCCAACUCUAUGGUUCUACUACAUUAGGUAAGAGGUUGCAACCUGGCAAUCCUAGUAAGCCCAGCAUGUGCUUUACUCUUGGAUUGUCAACUCAUGUCUACAUUCAACAGCUUGAGUCGUGGCUUGAGCUGCUGUGUUAUCAUUAUGUGAUGGCUAUUUUACCAUCAACACAAGACCAAAAGCGAAAUUAAUAUAACAUUUAUCAUGCCACUGAGGGCUGAAUGUUCUGGGAUGGAAUGUCAUUCUCACCAAGGAAACAAGAGUUCGCUUGUGAUUAAGACUUCAUAUUUCCCUUGCUUGAAAUUUGUGGUGUGUGUGUAAGAAAGAGCAAAAGCUCCCAAAACAAUGACGACCAGAACAAUUGCUUGAAAGCAAGCUUUUUCAGUAAACAAGCAAAUAGCUAGGGCUUGUUUUUGCAAGGAUGUAUUAAAAGAAAAUAAAUGUCAAUUAAAAUAUUUUAACAUCAAAGGCAAAUUUCUCUCAAGUUACAGGCAACAAACACUUGAAUUUGAUUAUUAAAUUGAAAAAGCUUUAAUUAGCCCACGUCAGUUUGCCUUUUAAAAAAAUGAAAACAUCCUAUGCUAAAUAUACCUCUCAAGGUUUAUUUUAACAACAGUAUUUUAUACACACUCAUACAAAUUAAAUACAGUGUCCUUGAAUCCAUUUCAGAUAUACACAAAGAACUUCAGCUUUAAAAAAGAAGAAGUCCCACAGGAUCACAGAUGUCCCACAGAUGUACCUAGGAGUACACCUCACUGUACUUGACAGGGCUUACUUCCAUGUAAACAUGCAUGGGAUUGCACUGUCACUCUCGUAAUAUCUCACACAUUAGCUAGUCCUAAAGCUGAGUAAUGGAUAUAUAGCCACCAAACAGAAUUUUUUCUAACCCAGUGCUUUCCACUCUGUGCUCCUAGAAACACUACCUAGGUCUAGGCAACCUACAACCCAAGGGCCACCUAGCAGUGUAACAUGAGUUGCUGGUGCCCAGAGCACGCAAGCCGCUGACACCACCAGAGCACGCUGUUCCCCCCACUGGAGCCAAAUUACUUUCAUUUGUAACAUGUAGUUAGCCCUUAAAGGUUCACUCACAUAUGAACACACUUUAGACCACAUCACUCAAUGCUUAAGGUGAUCUUGUGAAAUGAUCAUAUAGCCACAAUGAGCCACAUUAUCAUCUUCCUCAAUGGUUUUCAAACUGUGUUUCAAGCAACCCUGUGGUUUCUCAGAAGUUAUAGCAGGGGUUCCAUAAUAUGAUGAUCAGUAACAGCAGACAAACUUCCCAGAAACACAGCUUAGGGCUUGUCAUAGAAAGCACAAGUCCAAGCAGUUUUUCAUUCGUCCCACACUUUCUAGGCACAGGUCUGAGUGGUUUUGCCUUUGCCCGCCACUUUCCCCUGGAAAACCUGCUCUUUAGCACUAAAUCAGAACAAGCAGAAAUCAGAUUGCUGAUUGUUCUGAUUCAGCGCUGGGAAAAACGACAGCGCAAAUGGAGGUGUGGGUGAGUCCUUGUUCACCACUAUCAACCAUCUGCUGCGAUGCAAAGGCAUGAGGGAGUGUUGGGAGAGUCCCAGGGAAAUGCAUUCAGUUGCAUUUGGGUGUUAAGUCUGCAUCUCAAAAUACUCCCCAGAAUCCUCUGCAAUGAACAGGGGUUCUGUGGCAGGAAUAAAGGAGGUCCCUAGAAGACAAAUGUGGAAAGGGUGUAGUAAAGGAAGAAGGCUUUAAGCUCAUAUAUCUAGCAAAGUGAUUACUCAGAGAAGCAAAGGUUCAGAAGAGACUUCCUUCUCUAUAACAGACACUCCAAAAGGGAUUGGGCCAAUAAUAGUGAAGACAAAGCCAUUGCUCUAAUCUCUCAAAAGAAGUCAAAGUGAAAGCCUCACAUGCACCCCAGCUACUUAUGUUCUCUUCCAAUGUCUGCUGUUCAUAUUUUUCUUUUUCCUGAAAUAAAAAGAAUACUAUUACAUUUUUUUGUUUAGGAUGGGCAAUGCGUGAGGCACUGUGAUCAUUCACCUCUGUCUUUACUAAAAUUCCAUUUAUAUUUCCCAGGGCAACCUUACUCUUGCAAUGAGUGAAAGGAAACCUUACUGAAAACUAAAAUCCCUUACUUUUCACUUCCUGAGAUGUGAAGCAGUCAAUAUUUUUAGUUCUGUAUCUGCUUCUCUCUCUUACCCAAGUAGAAACACAAAUCUAAAAUCAGAAGUAUUUUAGCAUUUAGUUAAUUUUGCUGUAGUAUCUCCCCCCCUUUUUUUUUGCGGGUAGGGGGACAGAAAUUAGAACUGUCUUAGUAUAGUGUCCAAAUAUACACAUUAUGUUUUUUGCCUACACAUCAAAUUAGCAGGCUCUGAAAAGGACUACAUCUUACUCUAAGAAAAUUAUUAAUCUAUGUUCCCAUUGUGUGAGACAUAAAGAAAAUUCUGUGACCUAGAAAUUACUGCAUUUAUAAUGAACUAUGUUGCAGAUAACUGUGACACUUUGCAAUUACCCACUUAUUUCCUUCUGUAUCAAAGCUAUUAACAGAACGGAGAAGGAUGCUCCAGCUUCGAGGAAAAUCUCAAGGGUGGAAUGGCUGAAAUAAUACAACGUGGAGCAGUGUGUCAUCUGCCCUUUAGCACCAUUCUGCUUCCAGAAAGCAAAGGAAAUUGGUGGAUGUGAAGGAAUGAAGGCCUGAAGCAUUUCUUAAUGACGGCUACUCAAGGUCUCAAUCAUCAGGCUAUCUUACAUUGUAUAGUCUAGAUCAAAACUACUUAACAGUUCAAAAUAAACCUUAUUAGCUGCUGCAACAUAUGAAAA